rnacentral:rRNA from 1 species
UGCGGAAGGAUCAUUAUUGAAUAAACCUGAUGUGGCUGUUAGCUGGCUUUUUGAAGCAUGUGCUCGUCCCGUCAUCUUUAUCUCUCCACCUGUGAACAUUUUGUAGUCUUGAAUACCUCUUGAGGCAACUCGGGUUAGGGUUAGGAUUGCCGUGCUGUACAAGCAGGCUUUCUUAUCAUUUUCAAGACUAUGUUUUUUUUAAUAUACACCAAAGCAUGUUUAAAGAAUGUCAUCAAUAGGAACUUGUUUCCUAUAAAAUUAUACAACUUUCAGCAACGGAUCUCUUGGCUCUCGCAUCGAUGAAGAACGCAGCGAAAUGCGAUAAGUAAUGUGAAUUGCAGAAUUCAGUGAAUCAUCGAAUCUUUGAACGCACCUUGCGCUCCUUGGUAUUCCGAGGAGCAUGCCUGUUUGAGUGUCAUUAAAUUCUCAACCUUCCAGCUUUUAUUAGCUUGGUUAGGCUUGGAUGUGGGGGUUGUGGGCUUCAUUAUUGAGGUCAGCUCUCCUUAAAUGCAUUAGCAGAACUUUUGUGGACUGUCUAUUGGUGUGAUAAUUAUCUACGCCGUGGAUGUGAAGCAGAUUUAUGAAGUUCAGCUUCCAACCGUCCAUUGACAUGGACAAUUUUGACAAUUUGACCUCAAAUCAGGUAGGACUACCCGCUGAACUUAAGCAUAUCAAUAAGCGGAGGAAAAGAAACUAACAAGGAUUCCCCUAGUAACUGCGAGUGAAGCGGGAAAAGCUCAAAUUUAAAAUCUGGCAGUCUUUGGCUGU